UGGAUCACAAGGUCAGGAGUCGAAACCAGCCUGGCCAACAUGGUGAAACCCCGUCUCUACUGUAAAGAAUACAAAAAUUAGCUGGGUGUGGUGGCGCGUGCCUAUAAUCCCAGCUACUCGGGAGGCUGAGGCAGGAGAAUUGCUUGAACCCAGGAGGCAGAGGUUGCAGUGAGCCGAGAUUGCACCACUGCACUCCAGCCUGGACUACAGAGCAAGACUCCAUCUCAAAAAAAAAAAAAAAAAACUGUCCAAGGGCUGCCCAGACUCGUGGCCCACCCAGUCCUCCAACCCCAAAUGUCUCUGCCUGUCAACACCUUGCAUUCUCCAGCCCCAGAAGCCAUUCUAAUCUCCUUCUGGGAACAGAACUGGCAAAGAGGCAAGAGGUCACUGAGGGCCUCUGUCACCCAGGACCUGCCUCCUGCCUGCCCCUCUCCCGCCGGACUGUUAGAAAAUGGACACUGUGCCCAGCCCAGACCUUGGCAGCCCAGGCCGGGGUGGAGC
rnacentral:sRNA from 1 species